rnacentral:hammerhead_ribozyme from 1 species
ACCCAACUGACGAGUCUUAAACAGGACGAAACGCGCGUCGUAAAU